rnacentral:rRNA from 1 species
CCGAGGCCAUUGCUAUUGGAGUCCGAUUUAGCCAUGCUAGUCGAGCGGGUUCAGACCCGCGGCGAAAAGCUCAGUAACACGUGGUCAAACUGCCCUGUGGAGAGGAAUAACCUCGGGAAACUGAGGCUAACACCUCACAAGGCUCUCACGCUGGAACGCGGAGAGCCGGAAACGCUUCGGCGCCACAGGAUGUGACUGCGGUCGAUUAGGUAGACGGUGGGGUAACGGCCCACCGUGCCCAUAAUCGGUCCGAGUUGUGAGAGCAAGAGCUCGGAGACGGAAUCUGAGACAAGAUUCCGGGCCCUACGGGGCGCAGCAGGCGCGAAACCUUUACACUGCACGCGAGUGCGAUAGGGGGACUCCGAAUGCGAGGGCAUACAGUCCUCGCUUUUCUGAACCGUAAGGUGGUUCAGGAAUAAGGGCUGGGCAAGACCGGUGCCAGCCGCCGCGGUAAUACCGGCAGCCCGAGUGAUGGCCGAUCUUACUGGGCCUAAAGCGUCCGUAGCCGGCCGGACAAGUCCGUCGGGAAAUCCACACGCUCAACGUGUGGGCGUCCGGCGGAAACUAUCCGGCUUGGGACCGAAAGACUCGAAGGGUACGUCCGGGGUAGGAGUGAAAUCCCGUAAUCCUGGACGGACCGCCGAUGGCGAAAGCACUUCGAGAGGACGGAUCCGACAGUGAGGGACGAAAGCCAGGGUCUCGAACCGGAUUAGAUACCCGGGUAGUCCUGGCCGUAAACAAUGUCUGCUAGGUGUGGCUCCCACUACGAGUGGGUGCUGUGCCGUAGGGAAGCCGCUAAGCAGACCGCCUGGGAAGUACGUCCGCAAGGAUGAAACUUAAAGGAAUUGGCGGGGGAGCACUACAACCGGAGGAGCCUGCGGUUUAUUG